AGUGAACGCUGGCGGUAGGCCUAACACAUGCAAGUCGAACGGCAGCACAGUAAGAGCUUGCUCUUACGGGUGGCGAGUGGCGGACGGGUGAGGAAUACAUCGGAAUCUACUUUUUCGUGGGGGAUAACGUAGGGAAACUUACGCUAAUACCGCAUACGACCUACGGGUGAAAGCAGGGGAUCUUCGGACCUUUCGCGAUUGAAUGAGCCGAUGUCGGAUUAGCUAGUUGGCGGGGUAAAGGCCCACCAAGGCGACGAUCCGUAGCUGGUCUGAGAGGAUGAUCAGCCACACUAGAACUGAGACACGGUCCAGACUCCUACGGGAGGCAGCAGUGGGGAAUAUUGGACAAUGGGCGCAAGCCUGAUCCAGCCAUACCGCGUGGGUGAAGAAGGCCUUCGGGUUGUAAAGCCCUUUUGUUGGGAAAGAAAAGCAGCAGGUUAAUACCCCGCUGUUCUGACGGUACCCAAAGAAUAAGCACCGGCUAACUUCGUG
rnacentral:rRNA from 1 species